rnacentral:rRNA from 1 species
GACGAACGCUGGCGGCGUGCUUAACACAUGCAAGUCGAGCGGUAAGGCCCUUUCGGGGGUACACGAGCGGCGAACGGGUGAGUAACACGUGGGUGACCUGCCCUCAGCUCUGGGAUAAGCCUGGGAAACCGGGUCUAAUACCGGAUAUGACUCCAUGACGCAUGUUGUGGGGUGGAAAGCCUUGUGCGGCUGAGGAUGGGCCCGCGGCCUAUCAGCUUGUGGUGGGGNGAUGGCCUACCAAGGCGACGACGGGUAGCCGGCCUGAGAGGGCGACCGGCCACACUGGGACUGAGACACGGCCCAGACUCCUACGGGAGGCAGCAGUGGGGAAUCUUGCGCAAUGGGCGAAAGCCUGACGCAGCGACGCCGCGUGAGGGAUGACGGCCUGGUGUAAG